ACUAAUAUGUUUAAAUUUUAUCCAAUACCGUAUCCGUAUAUUUAUAUAUAUAUAUAUGGUUAGCGUUGAAGACUUUGGACAUGGGCCCAGUUGGAGCUUUCAUUGGUGCAGAUCUUGGUGGUAGUAGCAAAUAUUCAAGUGAGGUUCUUGAAGACAAGUAGAGAAGGAUUCCAUGUGAACAGCAGUUAAAUGUGGGUUAAUCGAUCCCAAGAUAUUGGCUAAUUAUAUAUAUAUAUAUAUAUAUAUAUAUAUAUAUAUA
rnacentral:ncRNA from 1 species